rnacentral:rRNA from 1 species
UACGUAGGGCGCAAGCGUUGUCCGGAAUUAUUGGGCGUAAAGAGCUCGUAGGCGGUCUGUCGCGUCGGCUGUGAAAACCCGAGGCUCAACCUCGGGCCUGCAGUCGAUACGGGCAGACUAGAGUGCUGUAGGGGAGACUGGAAUUCCUGGUGUAGCGGUGAAAUGCGCAGAUAUCAGGAGGAACACCGGUGGCGAAGGCGGGUCUCUGGGACGGUACUGACGCUGAGGAGCGAAAGCGUGGGGAGCGAACAGG